UGCAUGAUCUAAUAUAGCAUUAUACCGUGAAACUGCGAAUGGCUCAUUAAAUCAGUUAUCGUUUAUUUGAUAAUACCUUACUACUUGGAUAACCGUGGUAAUUCUAGAGCUAAUACAUGCUGAAAAUCCCGACUUCGGAAGGGAUGUGUUUAUUAGAUAAAAAACCAAUGCCCUUCGGGGCUUUUUGGUGAUUCAUGAUAACUUUACGGAUCGCAUAGCCUUGCGCUGGCGACGGUUCAUUCAAAUUUCUGCCCUAUCAACUUUCGAUGGUAAGGUAUUGGCUUACCAUGGUUUCAACGGGUAACGGGGAAUUAGGGUUCGAUUCCGGAGAGGGAGCCUGAGAAACGGCUACCACAUCCAAGGAAGGCAGCAGGCGCGCAAAUUACCCAAUCCCGACACGGGGAGGUAGUGACAAUAAAUACUGAUACAGGGCUCUUUUGGGUCUUGUAAUUGGAAUGAGUACAAUUUAAACCUCUUAACGAGGAACAAUUGGAGGGCAAGUCUGGUGCCAGCAGCCGCGGUAAUUCCAGCUCCAAUAGCGUAUAUUAAAGUUGUUGCAGUUAAAAAGCUCGUAGUUGAAACUUGGGCCUGGCUGGCGGGUCCGCCUCACCGCGUGCACUCGUCCGGCCGGGCCUUCCUUCUGAAGAACCUCAUGCCCUUCACUGGGGCGUGUUGGGGAAUCAGACUUUUACUUUGAAAAAUUAGGAGUGUCAAGCAGCCUUUGCCUCGAAUACGUAGCAUGAAUAAUAAAAUAGGGCGUGCGUUUCUAUUUUGUAGUCCUAAAGACGCCCGCAAUGAUACUGAACAGUCGGGCAUCAGUAUUCAGUGUCAAGGUGAAUUCUGAAUUACUGAAAACUAACCUACUCGGCAAACCAUGGCAAAGAGAGUGUUUUUCCUUUUAUU
rnacentral:rRNA from 1 species